AUCCGCAUGCUCGGGAGAGAGGCUCUGACAGUGAGGAUUUAUCCGAGUCGAGCCAUUUGCUAGUUGAAAAAAGCAAAUCCACUCCUUCUAUUCGAUCGAUUACGAUUGUUUAGAGAAUUUCUGGAACCCCCCCUA
rnacentral:snRNA from 1 species